UGACACUGAACAGAGUGUUGGUCCCCACCGUGAGACAAGGGGCCACCUUUCCUAUGCUGGCUGGUCUCUGGCUACAGACUGAUCUACUGGGGGUGGGAGAAGUCACCUUCCAAGGGUCAAGCUCCAGAGAAGGGAGCAGCUAGUCUGGUUAAGCCUGUGAUGAACAAAUGAUCAUGAAUGAUGAUGAGUCAGUGAAUGAC